GUAACACGUAGUCAACCUGCCCUGGAGACAUGGACAACCCCGGGAAACUGGGAUUAAUCCGUGAUAGGUCAUCUCAUCUGGAAGGAGAGAUGGCUUAAAGGGAUGCGCGGGCUUCUUCUGCGUAUUUGCUCCAGGAUGGGACUGCGUCCGAUCAGGCUGUUGGCGGGGUAAUGGCCCACCAAGCCAGUAACCGGUACGGGCCUUGAGAGAGGUGGCCCGGAGAUGGACACUGAGAGAAGGGUCCAGGUCCUACGGGGCGCAGCAGGCGCGAAACCUUCGCAAUGCGCGCAAGCGUGACGAGGUUAAUCCGAGUGAUUUCCGCUGAGGAGACCUUUUGUCUGCUGUAAAUAGGCAGGCGAAUAAGGGGAGGGCAAGCCUGGUGUCAGCCGCCGCGGUAAUACCAGCUCCUCGAGUGGUCGGGGCGAUUAUUGGGCCUAAAGCAUCCGUAGCCGGUUCCGUAGGUCCUCUGUUAAAUCCAACCGCCCAACGGGUGACCUGCAGAAGAUACCGCGAGAAA
rnacentral:rRNA from 1 species